UACGAAGGGUGCAAACGUUGUCCGGAAUUAUUGGGCGUAAAGAGCUCGUAGGCGGUGUGUCGCGUCGGCCGUGAAAACCUGCAGCUUAACUGUGGGCUUGCGGUCGAUACGGGCAUCACUGGAGUUCGGCAGGGGAGACUGGAAUUCCUGGUGUAGCGGUGAAAUGCGCAGAUAUCAGGAGGAACACCGGUGGCGAAGGCGGGUCUCUGGGCCGAUACUGACGCUGAGGAGCGAAAGCGUGGGGAGCAAACAGG
rnacentral:rRNA from 1 species